UACGGGGGGGGUAAGCGUUGUUCGGAAUUACUGGGCGUAAAGGGCUCGUAGGCGGCCAACUAAGUCAUACGUGAAAUCCCUCAGCUUAACUGGGGAACUGCGUGUGAUACUGGAUGGCUUGGAUUUGGGAGAGGGAUGCGGAAUUCCAGGUGUAGCGGUGAAAUGCGUAGAUAUCGUAAGGAAGACCAGUGGCGAAGGCGGGUCUCUGGACAGUUCCUGACGCUGAGGCACGAAGGUCAGGGGGAGCAAACGGG
rnacentral:rRNA from 1 species